rnacentral:rRNA from 1 species
GAUAAACGCUGGCGGCGUGCUUCAGGCAUGCAAGUCGAACGGACCUUCGGGUCAGUGGCGGACGGGUGAGUAACACGUAAGUAACCUGCCCAGAAGUGGGGAAUAACUAGCCGAAAGGCUGGCUAAUACCGCAUGUGAUGGCUUGUCCUUGGAUGGGUCAUGAAAGGAUUUAUUCGCUUCUGGAGGGGCUUGCGGUCGAUUAGCUUGUUGGUGGGGUAAUGGCCUACCAAGGCGACGAUCGAUAGCUGGUCUGAGAGGACGGUCAGCCACACGGGGACUGAGAUACGGCCCCGACUCCUACGGGAGGCAGCAGCUAGGAAUCUUGGGAAUGGGCGAAAGCCUGACCCAGCAACGCCGCGUGGGCGAUGAAGGCCUUC